rnacentral:rRNA from 1 species
GACGAACGCUGGCGGCGUGCUUAACACAUGCAAGUCGAGCGGAAAGGCCCCUUCGGGGGUACUCGAGCGGCGAACGGGUGAGUAACACGUGGGUAAUCAACCCUUGACAUCGGGAUACCCCGGGGAAACCCGGAUCAAUACCGGAUAAGGUGCGGAGGCGCAGGCCGCCGUACCAAAGAUAGCUUCGGCUUUCGGUCAAGGACGAGCCCGCGGCCCAUUAGCUUGUUGGUGGGGUAAUGGCCUACCAAGGCGACGAUGGGUAGCUGGUCUGAGAGGACGAUCAGCCACACUGGGACUGAGACACGGCCCAGACUCCUACGGGAGGCAGCAGUGGGGAAUCUUGCGCAAUGGGCGGAAGCCUGACGCAGCAACGCCGCGUGCGGGAAGAAGGCCUUAGGGUCGUAAACCGCUUUCAGGGGGGACGAAGCUUCCGGGGUUAAUAGCCUACGGGGUGACGGUACUCCCAAAAGAAGGUCCGGCUAACUACGUGCCAGCAGCCGCGGUAAUACGUAGGGACCGAGCGUUGUCCGGAAUCAUUGGGCGUAAAGAGCGUGUAGGCGGCUUGGUAGGUCUCGUGUGAAAUCCCGCGGCUCAACCGCGGACCCGCACGGGAAACCCCCAAGCUCGAGUCCGGAAGAGGAGAGUGGAAUUCCUGGUGUAGCGGUGAAAUGCGCAGAUAUCAGGAAGAACACCCGUAGCGAAGGCGGCU